CCGCAGUACCCUAACUGUGCUAAGGUAGCAUAAUCCCCCGCCUUUUAAUUGAAGGCCAGUAUGAAUGGACAAACGAAAGUAAAGCUGUCUCUGUGUGCCCCCUAAAACCUUAUCUUUAGGUGAAAAAGCCUAAAUAUGAUUAAAAGACAAAAAGACCCCGUAGAACCUAACUUAACCCAGUGCCUAAAACAUUAAGUUCCACCCCGCUAUUAAAGUCCAGAUGGGGCGUCUAAGGGCCACCUAAACCACCCUUUACCUUAAAAAAUACACAUAUUUCGACCCGCACCUUGCGCCAAUAGAAAUCGGCUACCUCGGGGAUAACAGACUAAUCUUCCUUAAGAGCCCAAAUUGACAGGAAGGCUUGGCACCUCGAUGUUGGCUUAAGAGCCCUGGGGGUGCAGCCGCCCCCAAUGGCAGGUUUGUUCAACCUUUAAUCUCUUACGUGAUCU
rnacentral:rRNA from 1 species